rnacentral:sRNA from 1 species
UUCAUCCAGUUCCUCUUUCUCUCUCUAAGUUCAGCUUCAUUUUCUUAUUCUUGCUCUGACUUCUCUCUACUUUUCCACCACUUCCCACCGUUGAAAUUUCAAAUAGGUAGUGUGUUUCGUUCACGGAGUUGAGAGCUUUCCCUUCAUCCGAUUAGAUUUUCGUUUUGGACGGAUCCUGUUGAACUUGCUUCUGUGCAAGAGUACUGUUUUGGGGUUUCCUCUAAAGAGUGUUGUGCUUGUAACCACUAAGAGGAGGUGUCUGUGGAGCAAGCGCUGGAAGACGGUGAUGUUGCAGCUUAGUAUGUCUAGGAUCUUGAUUAGUAGUAUUAUUCUGAUGAUAAUUCACAGUGGUCCUUUAUGUUUAAGAGACCAACUCUGAUUUUAUUUUGGAUGACUGUAACCAAUAUAGUCUGUUAUAUGUCUCUAACUACUUUUCAAUAUUAUAAUUGAAUGACG